rnacentral:rRNA from 1 species
UACGUAGGGUGCAAGCGUUAUCCGGAAUUAUUGGGCGUAAAGAGCUCGUAGGCGGUUUGUCACGUCUGCUGUGAAAACUGGAGGCUCAACCUCCAGCCUGCAGUGGGUACGGGCAGACUAGAGUGCGGUAGGGGAGAUUGGAAUUCCUGGUGUAGCGGUGGAAUGCGCAGAUAUCAGGAGGGACACCGAUGGCGAAGGCAGAUCUCUGGGCCGUAACUGACGCUGAGGAGCGAAAGCAUGGGGAGCGAACAGG